UAGGAUAAGGAAGUAAAUUCAGUCAAUAGGCACUUCACUUGUCGUUUGCGCCUCUCUAUAUGAAUGGUGACCCGGUACGAGAAAUCCGAACCGGCCCUGCCGAGGGAGCUGAUGGUAAAAUUGUUAAGCCGGAUGCAAAAAGACACUACUCGUGAACGACGUGAUUGUGAAAGCGAACACCAAGACGAAGGAGUAUUUUAUCGAAUCGGAGCUGGACGAGCUCAAGAAUGCCACUUCAAUGCAACAGAUAAUCCAGGCGGUCAGUAUUAUUAAUUACAAACUGCGAGAGCUCGAGUGCUUUGAUUUGGUCAUUAUCACGCUCGAUGCGCGUCCACCGGAGCUUCCAGGUGCGGCAAAUGUGAUCAUCGAAGUUAUCGAAAAACAAUAGUCCACUUUUGGCCAAAUCGGAACUUUCACCAAUUGAAAUGUUCUCAAUACGAAAGAUUCAGGAGAUCAGCGUGAAGCCUCUGCUCUUAGUGAUGAAGUAUGUCACACUCCGCCGAUUAAUUUAUGUAUUGUUGAGGACAGAUAUGACCUUUGAAAUACAUUGGAAGAAGGUAGUGCCAGGGAGCUUGAGAAACAGGUCAGUUGUCUUCUAUUUGCAAUUUUUUUUUUGGGUAAAUAAAUUUCCAUACCAGUGCAAAGCCCAUCAGUAUAGGUGGAACUUUGUAUGCACCUCAACUUGUAACCUUUGCUUUUUGACUUCUUUUAGCUGAUGUGCUUAAGUGAUAUUUAUUUUGUUUGAUAUUUUUUAUUUUCAUCUCCACAUGGAUAACAUUAUGGUUGCUGUGUUUAA